UACGUAGGGGGCAAGCGUUGUCCGGAUUUAUUGGGCGUAAAGAGCGUGUAGGCGGCUUGGUAGGUCUCGCGUCAAAACCUGAGGCUCAACCUCGAGUUCGCGUGGGAAACCACCUAGCUAGAGUCCGGAAGAGGAGAACGGAAUUCCCAGUGUAGCGGUGAAAUGCGCAGAUAUUGGGAAGAACACCAGUGGCGAAGGCGGUUCUCUGGGACGGUACUGACGCUGAGACGCGAAAGCGUGGGGAGCGAACAGG
rnacentral:rRNA from 1 species